GAUGAACGCUGGCGGCGUGCCUAAUACAUGCAAGUCGAGCGAACAGACGAGGAGCUUGCUCCUCUGACGUUAGCGGCGGACGGGUGAGUAACACGUGGAUAACCUACCUAUAAGACUGGGAUAACUUCGGGAAACCGGAGCUAAUACCGGAUAAUAUAUGGAACCGCAUGGUUCAAUAGUGAAAGACGGUUUUGCUGUCACUUAUAGAUGGAUCCGCGCCGCAUUAGCUAGUUGGUAAGGUAACGGCUUACCAAGGCAACGAUGCGUAGCCGACCUGAGAGGGUGAUCGGCCACACUGGAACUGAGACACGGUCCAGACUCCUACGGGAGGCAGCAGUAGGGAAUCUUCCGCAAUGGGCGAAAGCCUGACGGAGCAACGCCGCGUGAGUGAUGAAGGUCUUCGGAUCGUAAAACUCUGUUAUUAGGGAAGAACAAAUGUGUAAGUAACUAUGCACGUCUUGACGGUACCUAAUCAGAAAGCCACGGCUAACUACGUG
rnacentral:rRNA from 1 species